rnacentral:misc_RNA from 1 species
UAAACAUGUAGAUUUUAUUAUAAAAAUAAUAAUAAAUAGGAAGAUGUGAAAAACAAAAAUAAGUAUAUGCCUUUCAUUUACAAAAGAAAUAUUUAUAAAAUUCGUCAAGAUUGUAAUAAACCAGAAUGUAUCCAAAAGGUUAUACAAUAAUCUAAAAUCUCAAAAAACGUGGUGCCAUCUUGUUGAAACGUUUUCGAUGAUCAACUAGAGACGAAAUAGCAGUUGUUGAAACUCGGAUCAACUGUGACGAGCAUCGCGGUGCCACCAAAAUCGCAGGUACCUCCAGCGACCUUUGUCUUCUGCCAAUAACUAUUAAAAGCAUAGGAAGCGUGUGAUACCAAAUUAUCUGGCUGGAAGCAAGGUCCAUUGGGCUGAAUUGCCCUGCAGUCUGCUCCUGACCCACACGCAUAGUCCAAUGCUUCUUGAAUUAUUGGAUCAGGCAUAGUAGGCUUUGCCACACACCACACGGCAAAUUGUGUCAUUUUAUGAGGCGGUGGUGGCAUUACAACAAUCGAUGGUGGAUGAACUGCUGGUGAUUGAUCGAUUGGUGGGCUAGGCCCAUGAUAAUGUGGGCUAGGAGCGAUACUUGGUGGGUUAAGUUCAUAUUGUGGUGGUCUCAGGAUUGGCGUGUACAUGGGCGGGCUAGCAGAUUCGUCUGGUGGGCUUUUGAUCGGAAAAUUAGGGGAUGAAGGAGACGACACCAUAGAAGAUGGUAGUGAUUCUAAAGGCGGAAGAGCAUAUGGAGAACCCAAGCCAUAUGCCUCAACAUCUUUUGGUUCUAAUGGUCCGUUCAUUCCUUGUUCAGCAAAUAACCUUGCAUCAGUUAGAAGGAAGAUGCUGGCUAUAAUGACUAUGCAUACAAAUAAAAUGCUGAAUUUCAAGUGCCCAAGUCUUAGAUCCAUUUGAUGAAAUGCUCAAGAACUCUCUUAAGUCACCAGUAGUCGUGGAUUUUCUGCUAUGGAAGCAAACACAAGGAAAUAUAAAUAAGCUCCAUAGUAGGGUCCAUCCAUGGUGGAUAAAAAAUAAUGAAGCAAAAGUGGCUCACUUUAUAUGGUGA